rnacentral:lncRNA from 1 species
GAUCCUCCUGCCUUGGCUUCCCAAAAUGCUGAGAUUACAGUGUCAGCUACCUCUUUAGAGACUGCCAGACCCUCUCUGAAGAUGACAGGCCAAACUCAGAGGAGCCAGAGAGUCAUUCAUCAGAUGAAGAGGUGACUAGCCACAAAUAUCCAUCAAUUACUUGCCAUGUGCAAGGAAUGCUAUGUUGAUGUUGUGGAGGACGGGAAGGUUAUCAUGACACAGCUUUGUGAUGAGAAACAAAAAGGAUGUUGGAAGCAGAGAGCACAGUGGUGUGACUGCCCUGCCGUGGUUCAUGAGCUAGAUGCCAGCCGAGGUAACAUCCCCGGAGCAGGAGCUGAGAAGGGAAACAUCCUCCACGUGGACAGACACAUGCUGCAGAGCCUGGAAAUCAUCCCAGUGCAGAUCCCUUUUUAAAAGCCCACAAAACAGUGCCUGGAGGUACAUUUCCAGCAACUGACUAGGGGUUCAGGGUUGCAGCCGAGCUGAGCUGGGAGUCUCGAUAGAUUCAAAUGGACCAAGCCUUUGACCAAAAGGAGAAGAGAAUGCACAUUUGUUGAGCACAAUAAUGCUGUGAAGAGGAUGCUCUUACCUCCAUUUUGCAGGUGAGCAAAGAGAUGGAGUAUACAGUGACAAUACAUUAUUCAUCCCUGCUCAAGGUCACACGUGAGAAAGUGUGAAGCUGGGAUUCAAACCCCAGCCUUUCUGUCCUCAAGCCUCACCACUUACGUCAUGCUGGGCAUCGUUUCAUUUUUUGAAAUCUCACCUAGUGCCAACUUCUUUAUAUACUUUCUCUGAGCUAUAACAGGAUCCAGCCAUGAGCUUAAGUGUCAGCAUGUCAGCAUUUCAAAAACCUGCCACUUCCACAUGACCCUAACACCUAGAGCUAUAAUUGGGUAGGAUCUCAGGGCCCAGGCAUCUCUUUCCUUUUCUGAUGAUUUCAUGGGGUGUGGGGGCAGGGAGCCCUGAGCGGAUAGAGUCCAGAUUAGGAAAUAUUUCCUUAACUGGCCCUAAGGCGUGUGCUCAUAUAUUUCUUUCCUUAUAUUCAUAGACUUAUUUAAGAAAUAUAGACCCCAGAAGAUGAACACACUCAAUAGAUUUUCCUUCUAUUAU